rnacentral:piRNA from 1 species
UUUCGAUAUCACUCUCGAAUU